CAGCCGCCGCGGGAAUACGUAGGGUGCGAGCGUUAAUCGGAAUUACUGGGCGUAAAGCGUGCGCAGGCGGUUUUGUAAGACAGAGGUGAAAUCCCCGGGCUCAACCUGGGAACUGCCUUUGUGACUGCAAGGCUAGAGUACGGCAGAGGGGGAUGGAAUUCCGCGUGUAGCAGUGAAAUGCGUAGAUAUGCGGAGGAACACCGAUGGCGAAGGCAAUCCCCUGGGCCUGUACUGACGCUCAUGCACGAAAGCGUGGGGAGCAAACAGGAUUAGAUACCCCUGUAGUCCCUGUCUCUUAUAC
rnacentral:rRNA from 1 species